rnacentral:rRNA from 1 species
GACGAACUGUCCUACCGUUGUUCGGAAUCACUGGGCUUAAAGGGCGCGUAGGCGGUCCGACAAGUCAGGGGUGAAAUCCUGCAGCUUAACUGUAGAAGUGCCUUUGAUACUGUCGGUCUUGAGGGAAAUAGGGGUGUGCGGAACUUCCAGUGGAGCGGUGAAAUGCGUUGAUAUUGGAAGGAACGCCGGAGGCGAAAGCGGCGCACUGGAUUUCUUCUGACGCUGAGGCGCGAAAGCUAGGGGAGCAAACGGG